UUAAAAUAAAUAUUUGUAAAAAUAUUGACAACCUUAUAAACAUUAAUUUAUUCUGCAUGUACAAAUUGUAUACCAUGCAUCCACACAUAUAAUUAGAGAUUUAGAGAGUGUUUGUGGAUAGUGAAAAAUAAAUAGUGCAUUAAAAAUUUUUAUAAAUAUUUUACUCAAUACUUUUAUUCCCACCCCACCUCUAGCUUAUAAAAAAAAAUCUACAAUCAUGUUUAGCAUUUUAUAGCGUUUUUAGGUUUAAAUCAGUGUAAUCUUAAAAAAAAAGUUGACUUAAGGGAGUAUUACUCAAGUGAUCCUACACAAUUUAUCCUUUUGGUUUUAUAGGGAUCAUUUAUAAAAAGAGCUCUCGAAUACCCUGUAUUACAUGCCAACAGGCAGAGAGUCAUAUAAUAGAGCUCUUUAGAAGAAUGCACGGAUUACGAUCUGAAAUGUUAUCAUCUGAGUGUGCACAAACAUGUACUAAUUUGCACACCUAUGCAUAUACUUUUCAAUAGCCACUAAUUAUUGGCAAAUGCUGUUUCACAGAGCAUAGAUUCCAAAGUAUGUCUGUCCAGGCUCCAGAUUCAGGUUCUUUUC